GUAGUCAUAUGCUUGUCUCAAAGCUUAAGCCAUGCAAGUUUAAGUACAAACAAAAUUAAAGUAAAACCGCAAAAUGCUCAUUAAAUUAGUUAUAGUUCACUAGAGUACCAAGAUUUCAUAUGGACAACUGUGGUAAUUCUAGAGCUAAUACAUGCAAUUAAGUCUUGUCCAUUAAUGGAAAAGACGCUUUUAUUAGAUCAAAACUAAUCGGUGAGUCUACGGACUGUCCGUUUAUCUUUUGAUGACUCUGAAUAACACCGCAAAUCGCUCAUAGUCGAAGUACUAGUGACAUAUCUUUCAAAUGCCUGACUUAUCAACUGUCGAUGGUAGACUAUACGUCUACCAUGGUUGUAACGGGUAACGGGGAAUCAGGGUUCGAUUCCGGAGAGGGAGCCUGAGAAACUGCUACCACAUCCAAGGAAGGACUCCCGGCACGGGGAGGUAGUGACAAAAAAUAACGAUACGGGACUCAUCCGAGGCCCCGUAAUCGGAAUGAGUACACUUUAAACUCUUUAACAAAAGCCAAUCGGAGGGCAAGUCUAGUGCCAGCAGCCGCGGUAAUUCUAGCUCCGAUAGCGUAUAUUAAAGUUGUUGCGGUUAAAAAGCUCGUAGUUGGUUCUGUGUGCCACGCUGUUGGUUCACCGCAUGUCGGUGUAACUGACAUGUCGUGGGACGUCCUGUCGGUGGUGGUUAAAGCCCUAUAGCUUAGAAGAGGCUUGUCCUUAACUUUGCUUCAGGUGACUUUAAUUACCGAUUAAAUCCUGCCGCGGUGCUCUUUACUGAGUGUCGAGGUGGGCCGACACGUUUACUUUGAACAAAUUAGAGUGCUCAAAGCAGGCAUUGGUUGCCUGAAUAGUAGUGCAUGGAAUAAUAGAAUAAGACUUUGGUUCUAUUUUGUUGGUUUUCAGAAUCCAAGGUAAUGAUCAAUAUGGACAGGCGGGGGCAUUCGUAUUGCAACGUUAGAGGUGAAAUUCUUGGAUCGUUGCUAGACGAACUAAAGCGAAAGCAUUUGCCAAGUAUGUCUUAAUUGAUCAAGAACGAAAGUUAGAGGUGCGAAGGCGAUCAGAUACCGCCCUAGUUCUAACCAUAAACGAUGUCAGCCAGCGAUCCGUCGAUGUUUUUUUCAUGACUCGACGGGCAGCUUCUGGGAAACCAAAGCUUUUGGGUUCCGGGGGAAGUAUGGUUGCAAAACUGAAACUUAAAGGAAUUGACGGAAGGGCACCACCAGAAGUGGAGCCUGCGGCUUAAUUUGACUCAACACGGGAAACCUCACUAGGUCCAGACAUUGGAAGGAUUGACAGAUUGAUAGCUCUUUCUUGAUUCAGUGGGUAGUGGUGCGUUGGUGGAUCGAUUUGUCUGGUUAAUUCCGUGAACGAACGAGACUCUUUCCUACUAACUAGGCGUUUGGUAUUUUUGCUACCAGCGCAUUUUUCUUCUUAGAGGGACGGGCGGCUUCCAGCCGCACGAAAUUGAGCGAGAACAGGUCUGUGAUGCCCUUAGAUGUUCUGGGCCGCACGCGCGCUACACUGAAGGAAUCAGCGUGUGCCUCCCUGUCCGAAAGGACCGGGUAACCCGCUGAAACUCCUUCGUGCUAGGAAUUGGGGCUUGCAAUUCUUCCCCAUAAACGAGGAAUUCCUAGUAAGUGCGAGUCAUAAGCUCGCGUUGAUUAAGUCCCUGCCCUUUGUCCACACCGCCCGUCGCUAAUACCGAUUGAAUGAUUUAGUGAGGUCUUCGGACGGAUAAUAUACAAGAUGUAUGCCAAGAGUAUGAACAAGUUAAGUAUCUGAAAGAUGACCAAACUUGAUUAUUUAGAGGAAUUAAAAGUCGUAACAAGG
rnacentral:rRNA from 1 species